rnacentral:rRNA from 1 species
UCAGGAUGAACGCUGGCGGCGUGCCUAACACAUGCAAGUCGAACGGAGCGCCCGGACGGAGUAUUUCGGUACAAAGACCGGGUGGCUGAGUGGCGGACGGGUGAGUAACGCGUGGACAACCUGCCGUGUACAGGGGGAUAACAGCUGGAAACGGCUGCUAAUACCGCAUAUGCGCACAGUGCCGCAUGGCACAGUGCGGGAAGCCUAGAUCUUAUCUAGUACGGUACACGAUGGGUCCGCGUCUGAUUAGGUAGUUGGCGGGGUAACGGCCCACCAAGCCCACGAUCAGUAGCCGGCCUGAGAGGGCGGACGGCCACACUGGGACUGAGACACGGCCCAGACUCCUGCGGGAGGCAGCAGUGGGGAAUAUUGCACAAUGGGGGGAACCCUGAUGCAGCGACGCCGCGUGAAGGAAGAAGUAUCUCGGUAUGUAAACUUCUAUCAGCAGGGAAGAAAGAGGACGGUACCUGACUAAGAAGCCCCGGCUAACUACGUGCCAGCAGCCGCGGUAAUACGUAGGGGGCGAGCGUU